rfam:Schistosoma rodhaini strain Burundi genome assembly, scaffold: SROB_scaffold0004945
AUCCAGCUGACGAGUCCCGAAUAGGAUGAAACUUGUGGCCUGUAU